AUUGAACGCUGGCGGCAUGCUUUACACAUGCAAGUCGAACGGUAACAGGGUGCUUGCACCGCUGACGAGUGGCGAACGGGUGAGUAAUGCGUCGGAACGUGCCGAGUAGUGGGGGAUAACGCAUCGAAAGGUGUGCUAAUACCGCAUACGUACUGAGGUAGAAAGUGGGGGACCUUCGGGCCUCACGCUAUUCGAGCGGCCGACGUCUGAUUAGCUAGUUGGUGAGGGAAAGGCUCACCAAGGCGACGAUCAGUAGCGGGUCUGAGAGGAUGAUCCGCCACACUGGGACUGAGACAGGGCCCAGACUCCUACGGGAAGCAGCAGUGGGGAAUUUUGGACGAUGGGCGCAAGCCUGAUCCAGCCAUGCCGCGUGUCUGAAGAAGGCCUUCGGGUUGUAAAGGACUUUUGUCCGGGAGCAAAUACCCAGUGCUAAUAACGCUGGGGGCUGAGAGUACCGGAAGAAUAAGCACCGGCUAACUACGUGCCAGCAGCCGCCGUAAAAC
rnacentral:rRNA from 1 species